rnacentral:rRNA from 1 species
CUCCUCUUGAUUUAAUUUGAGGUACCGUCUGCUCAGUGCAAUUUGUAAAUAGCCGCAGUAUUCUGACUGUGCUAAGGUAGCAUAAUCAUUAGUCUUUUAAUUGAAGGCUGGUAUGAAUGACGAGACGAGAAAAUAGCUGUCUCUAAAAUAAAUAUCGAAUUUUAUUUCUAAGUGAAAAAGCUUAGAUAGUUUUAAAGGACGAUCAGACCCUUUGGAGCUUUAUUUAUUUCAAAAUUUAAAUUUAUUUUAGAUAAUUGAAUUGAAAAUAAAUUUUGUUGGGGCGACAGGGAGUAAUAAAUAUCACUCUUUUAAUAAAACAAUUAUAAUUGGAAAAUUGAUCCUCAAAGUGAGAUUAUAAGACUAAGUUACCCUAGGGAUAACAGCGUAAUCUUUUUGGAGAGUUCAAAUCGAUAAAAAGGUUUGCGACCUCGAUGUUGGAUUAAGAAAUUAGCAAGGUGCAGAAGUUUUGCUGGAAAGUGCUGUUCGA